rnacentral:lncRNA from 1 species
UCCUAUGUCUAAUAUUAAUUACUCUUACGUUGUCGUAAUGUGUGAAGUCUUGCUUGAGAAUGCUCCGGAUACCUGGCUAUAGAAGGAAGAAUAAAAAUUGCGAUAACAAAAUCCUAAAUAGAAUACUAACAAUGCUCUAAUUAGACUACAAUAAUGGUAAACAAAUUUAAUCAAAUUCAAAACAACUCAAAGAAAUUUUGAAGAAAUAAUAAAAUUCUUAAAAAAAUAUUAGAAUGAUCACAAAUUUUACUCAAAUAUAUGUCCAUUCAACCUUAAUUUAAUUCUAGUUAAAUUCCUAUUGAAUUUCACUCUAAACCCUAAACCCUAAACUCUAAUCCAAAUCCUAAAUCCUAAAUGAAAUCUUAAAUCAAACUCUAAUCCAAACCCUAAAUCAAACCCUAACCAAAUCCUAAACCCUAAUCCAAAUCCUAAUCCAAACCCUAAUCCAACUCUAAACUCUAAUCUAAAUCCUAAAUCCUAAACCAAACCUUAAAUCAAACUCUAAUCUAAACCCUAAAUCAAACCUUAACCAAAUCCUAAAUCCUAAUCCAAACCCUAAUCCAAAUCCUAAUCCAACCUUAAACUCUAAUCCAAAUCCUAAACCCUAAACCAAACCUUAAAUCAAACUCUAACCAAACCAUAAUCCAUACUCUAAUCCAAAUCCUAAAUCAAAUCCUAACCAAAUCCUAAACCCUAAUCCAAACCCUAGCCAAACCCUAAUCCAAAUCCUAAUCCAAAUCCUAGCCAAAUCCUAAUCCAAACCCUAAUCCAAACCCUAAACCGAACUCUAGCCAAACCCUAAUCCAAAUCAUAGUAAUUCUUUUGACAGAUUUUAAACCUCAAUAUCUAAUGAAUAAACCGUUGAUCUCAAUUAAAAAUUUGCAUACUUCUUAAGAAUCAAGUUCAAAACAAGUAAAUUUUUUUUGAAAAGGAUCGGAAUUACCAAAUUGACGAAAACCUCAAAAAUGAGUUUGGGUGUUAGCCGGCAUCUUUCUCUAAUCUUGUUGCCAACCUUCCAGAGCCAAUUUCUCUUCUUUGCGCCGUUCGAUUGAUUUCAAAUUUCUUAUAAACAUAAGAAAACAAGUCUAAUAUCCUCUUACAUAAGUUUUAUUCCAAUCCAAUGAGUAGAUUGCAUGAAAUCUUAAAAACCCUUACUAGACCUUAAAUUCUACUUUCUAAGACCUUGACUCACUUAAACCUCAAUAUCACUU